rnacentral:rRNA from 1 species
GACAGAUAAGGAGCUUGCUCCUUUGACGUUAGCGGCGGACGGUUUUCCAAACUUAGAGGGUAACCUACCUAUAAGACUGGGAUAACUCCCCCUGUAACCGGAGCUAAUACCGGAUAAUAUUUCGAACCGCAUGGUUCGAUAGUGAAAGAUGGUUUUGCUAUCACUUAUAGAUGGACCCGCGCCGUAUUAGCUAGUUGGUAAGGUAACGGCUUACCAAGGCGACGAUACGUAGCCGACCUGAGAGGGUGAUCGGCCACACUGGAACUGAGACACGGUCCAGACUCCUACGGGAGGCAGCAGUAGGGAAUCUUCCGCAAUGGGCGAAAGCCUGACGGAGCAACGCCGCGUGAGUGAUGAAGGUCUUCGGAUCGUAAAACUCUGUUAUUAGGGAAGAACAUACGUGUAAGUAACUGUGCACGUCUUGACGGUACCUAAUCAGAAAGCCACGGCUAACUACGUGCCAGCAGCCGCGGUAAUACGUAGGUGGCAAGCGUUAUCCGGAAUUAUUGGGCGUAUAGCGCGCGUAGGCGGUUUUUUUAGUCUGAUGUGAAAGCCCACGGCUCAACCGUGGAGGGUCAUUGGAAACUUGGAAAAUUUGAGUGCAGAAGAGGAAAGUGGGAAUUCCAUGUGUAGCGGUGAAAUGCGCCAGAGAUAUGGAGGAACACCCGUGGCGAAGGCGACUUUCUUGGCCUGUAACUUGACGCCUGAUGUGCGAAAGCG